rnacentral:lncRNA from 13 species
UGAAAGAGUAGAGGUGGGGAGUGAUUACCUUGAAGCCAGUCCCAGCCCAGUGCUGGUUGAAAGAGUAGAGGUGAUUACCUUGAAGCCAGUCCCAGCCCAGUGCUGGUUGAAAGAGUAGAGGUGGGGAGUGAUUACCUUGAAGCCAGUCCCAGCCCAGUGCUGGUUGAAAGAGUAGAGGUGGGGAGUGAUUACCUUGAAGCCAGUCCCAGCCCAGUGCUGGUUGAAAGAGUAGAGGUGAUUACCUUGAAGCCAGUCCCAGCCC